UCUGACUUUGUUUGUUUUUAUUUCGUUCGGAAAAAUAUUAUAUUAGGGAAAGUGGACAUUGAAAAUGCGUUGCUCAGUGGAAGGCGGCCCGAAUACGAGUGAAAAUGUUUGCGUAAGCUUUUAUCGUAUACCCUCGGAAACGUUUUUACAGACGCGCUGGGUCGAUUUUUGCAAAGACACCAACUAGUUCCGAAUAAGGGUUCCCGUAUAUGUGGAAUGCAAUGGUCAAUUAGAAAAAUGACGGAAAACUGUAGUUCGCCUACAACACGCCAAACCCACGCUCACGACACGUCAGCCUGGUGUGAACACAUCGGUUAAGGUUCCUCUCCGUUCCACGAGUUUUCUACCACUACUUCAGGCUGUUACAAAGUUUUACAACUCUUCUGCAGCGGCACGAUGCAAUCAGCGAUCGGCGUGCAAUCUAUUCAAUUUUUAAUGAAAAUAUAGCAAAAACUAAACUUGUUCGUCUCACUCAGCGUUCUCAAUUGUGGGAUUUAAUAAAGACUAUAACUCAGGCUCUGACAGACUGAUUGUCAAACCUGUCAACAAAUAGACAGCCGUCCGUCUUGCGUUCGUUACCAUCCGGUCGUUCCGUAACGCCUGUGUGGAGCGGGUCUGAUGGAUA